CUUCAACCCGUCCCCUUCUCUUUCUCCUUGAAAACCCUAAAUUCCAUCCUCCUCUUCGUUCUUUCCUCGAUGACCCACUCUAUUCUUGUGGUCGAUAUCAUCGCUGGCUAUUGACGCUUCGUUUGCCUCUCUCACCGAGUAGUUUGAUACCCCAGUUCCCGAAGAACAUCUCUCUGAACCCCGAUUUGAAAACUCUAACCAACCGAGGUAGGCGGAUUAUUCGUCUGGGAGAACGGUUCUGGCAUUGGCGGCAGUGAUGGUGAGUUUCAGCCAGGGAGAUGCUCGCGAUGAUGAUCCACUACGAUCUCUGUUGUGGGCUUAAUACGCUCAGGGAAGUGAACAGCUUUGGUAAUUCAUGUUCGGUUGAGAUCUCAACCAUCGCUGUCCUCGUGGAGUUUCUUCGUUGUUGGAACCAGAAAAACAGAGUGCAUUGAGUUGGUUUAUCAGGUUGGAAUAUGUGGAGAGCAUGGUGGGAGCCAUCUUCUAUUGCAUUCUUUGCUCAAAUUGGUCUUGAUUAUGUCUCAUACUCUCCUUUUAGGUAGGAAGCUUAUUGGGAGGCUCCUCAAAAUCUUUUCUUACCAUGAUAGGUAUAUCCAUGAUGAGGAAGGAAGUUGAGAACGAUGAGUCUGUAAAAAAAUCUUCAUCUCUUAGAAAAAUACCAGUGGUAUCUUUUGGCCGUGAUCUUCAACUUCCUGUACAUG